rnacentral:rRNA from 1 species
UACAGAGGGGGCAAGCGUUGUUCGGAAUUACUGGGCGUAAAGGGCGCGUAGGCGGCCCGCUAAGUCGAACGUGAAAUCCCCGAGCUCAACUCGGGAACUGCGUCCGAUACUGGCGGGCUUGAAUCCGGGAGAGGGAUGCGGAAUUCCAGGUGUAGCGGUGAAAUGCGUAGAUAUCUGGAGGAACACCGGUGGCGAAGGCAGCUCGCUGGGACGUAACUGACGCUGAGACGCGAAAGCGUGGGGAGCAAACAGG